UCGGAUAUGGUGUAACGGCUAACAUUACCGCCUCUCAUCUCACAGGAGAGUUUACGCGGCAGCUCGGGGUUCGAUUCCCCGUUUCCGAA